rnacentral:lncRNA from 1 species
CUCAAUUUUCCGGUGAAGACGGUGAAAAAGUCUUUGCAAGAGAUUCAAUAUAGCUGCUGCAAUGGUUCUUCUCCUGCACUUGCACUCAAGGAGAGGCACUGCAUCCAAAGAAAGUUGUCAUCAAAAGCUAAAAUGUGUAGAGGGAAAGAGACAUCAUCAUCAGAGGAUUCAACACAAAGUGUGGUGGUGUUUGAGGACUUGGGAGUUGACUAUCUUGAGCAUCUUCUUAGCGUAUCAGAUCAAAGUGAAAGUACAAGCCCUAGCUACUUCAACUAAACCUUUGUUACUAUUUUUUUGUUUCUUUUUCCUUGUUGUGUGUGGCCUUCAUCAAUUUCAAGCUAGGGUAUGUGUAUGUAUUAAUUGUGUUCUCUCUUCAGUUGAGAACCUGAAUUAAUUCUUUCUCCCAAGCGAAUUUAUGUGGUUACAUAUGUCUCUCUAGGUUUCAUGUUGAAGUGCUCUGAAUCAAUUUUUGCACCAACAAUCGUCCGUCACCUGCACAACUGGUUCAUUUUCUUAUUCACAAUCCAUUUUCACAAUUUGAAUACUGAAUAGUGUCUUCCAAUAAAAAUUCUCAAGACAUGCCCAAAUGUGUAAAAGUUUAUGAGAAAUGCUAUGAUAUAUUGGAAAAUUCAAUAGUGUUGGUACUGUUAUUGAGAAAUUUUGUUCUUUCUCCCUCUCCAUUAGUAUGCUUAAACUGAUUCAACUAUUACAUAUUGGUUCAAAAAACAACUGUACUAAAGCUUUUAGGUUUCUCUGGGUACCAUAUCAACUCUCAAAGUUUUUACAUCACUCUUGCUACCUCUUUAUUGUAUAUGAACAGUCGCCUUAGCAAUGUAUUUUAGCAAAAAGAUUUAUUCAAAUCUAAAUAAGAAUACUCUAACCUAUAUUACAAGAGUUCGAGCAAACAGGAAAAUCAGAGAUGUUGUCUAAUACAAUCUAUAGGACUAACACACAAAUCUGAAAACAUAGAUCAAUUUUCCUUUACCCUUGUUAUUAAACGUGUCCAAGAUUCAUAGCCCAACAAAAUAAAAAUUACCCCAUUUGAACAUAAUUUUGUUCCGCUUCAAACUUAUCUUGACAUAUAUAAGUACUUUGUUUAACACGAAACCAUUCUUCAGACAUUUCUAUAAGUAAACUCUUACAUAAAAAGUCCUAUAUAAACAUAUUGUUUGAUAUAAAAUCAUAGGACAUCACUGAUACGAUUAAUGAAGGAUUUAGAUCAAGAUAGUAGAGUAAUUUACCAAGAAUUAUUAGGAAUCUUAAUUUCUUUGUUUUAUAUGUCACAUCUGGCUUGUCCCCCUUUCUAUACAUCUCAUCUGUGAUCAAUCAAAGCAAGUGAGGAUUUUACAACCACAGAAACCAGAAAACCUUUCAAAUUUCAAUAUAUGGGUAAGAUGGUAAGUGUAGUAAAUAAGCAAUAAAUACAAAGAAAUAUGGCUAAAUUCAUUGAAUGCACAUCAAGUGUAACAUAGGAAGCCAACUUGAAGUCCUAAGCUACUUGAAGAAAUGAAAAAUCUGUCACACAGACAACAUUGUGAAGAAUUUUGACUACACUUUUUAGACAGUGGGUGGUGAAUCCGGGUCUGUUUAUAUCUGCAUAAUUUUAAUGUAUGAGUUCGGGGUACUAUGGAUAGGGAACUGAACAAUGUACUGUGUGCUAGCCUGUUUAUAUCUGCAUAAUUUUAAUGUAUGAGUUCGAAUAAAUAUACAAUACCCAAAUAAUCUUUAUGGUAAAUUUCAAGAUCAAAACAAGAUAUCUAGCGCACCAUUAAUCCUCAAUAUUUGGAUUGGAAAAGACUAACUGCAAGUGGUACUCUCAACGCAUUGAUCAAACAUUGAUGAUAAGUCUUGUCAAUCAAAGGUUGUCUUUGGACACUCCAUUGCUUACAUGGAAAACUUAUAUGAUGAUUACUCCGGUCAAAUAAUGAUAGUCUUUAAACAUUUCAUUAUUUACAUGGAAAAGCAUACUAUUUAAAAUCACCACAUGUUUAUCAUCGCAAACAUGUAAUUAUUUUGUCAAAUUAUGUCUUCCUUUAGGUAGAGCAUAAUUCGCAUGAAUAAUUCCAUGCAACAUACAUGUAAAUUCAAUCAAAUCAACUUACGCAACAAAGAUUACUUUGACAACAUGUUGUUUCAAUCAAUUUAACCAAAAAAUACAAGACAAUUUAAUAUAAUAAAGGAGAGGUCUUAAAAUUACAUAACUUUCACAUAUAAUUUAAUUAUAUAAAAAUGUAUAUAACAAAACAUGCAACUAUUUUUUAGAACAGAUUCAUCAUAAGAUACCUAGCACAAUAUUAAUUCCUAGAGAAAUUAAUUUGUAAUUGGUACUCUCAAUGCAAUGAUCAAAUAUUAAUAAUAAAUUUUGUCAAAUAAUAGUCUUUCUUUGGACCGACUAUUAUUCACACGAAAAUACCUUAUAAUUGUCACACAUUUAUCAUCACAGGUACAAAAUAUUAUUUGGCCAAAUUUCGUCUUCCUUUGAGCCGAACACAAUUCGCAUAAAUAAUUUUAUACAAAAAUCUAUGUAAUUUUAAUCAAAUCAAUUUUCACAAUAGGGAUUACUUUGAUAAUAUAUCGUGUCAAUCAAUUUAAUUAGAAAAAUCACUAGAUAUGCAAAUAAAUGGGAAGAAUUUGCUACUACUAAAUUAACUUCAAAACAAACAAGAGCAAGAGAUUUUCUUUCUUUACACGUUAUGCAACAUAUCUUGUAUACUCUUUCUUCAUGUGUCUAGACUUUUUGUAGAAGUAGCAAGUAAAUUUUUCAUCUUUCUUUUGUUGAGAGCACCCUUAGUUUUUUUCCUUAUCCUCUCGCAAACAAUGAGAUACAAGAUCAUUAAUGGACCAUUUAUCCUUUUAAGUGUUAUAGUUCACUUUGAAUUGCUCAAAGUGUGCAGGGAAUGAGAUCAAACCUAAAUGCACGAGCAGGUCUUCACUUAGAUUAAGUGUUUUCAAUUUUGUUGUCAAAUUAGAAAUUUCAUUAUGUACUCCCUUGUAUAACGUCCCCUUUUUUUACCAAAAAAAUAAAUAAAAAAACAAAAAUUGCGCAAAAAACUUCCUUAUACAUAUUAUGAACCGUAGCAAGCCGUUCACAGAACCAAUAACGAUGUCAAAAAAUAAAAUACACUCGAAUUUAAAUCAAAUAUCCAAUAUGGCAAUAUCUGAAUUUACCGACAAUUAAUAUGUGUGUUCCCAAAAAAAAAAUGGGUUCAUAUAAACAAAGCAAUCCAGGUAUAAUUAGAAUCAAAUAACGUUAAAUCCUAAUAAUCUAACAGUAAUAGUGGCUCUGAUACCACUUGUUGAAAUUUUAGAAGAUUCUUGUAAAAUACCAAUAAUCACCAGGAACAACACAUUACGUUAGAUUAUUAAGAAGAAUUUUAGAAAUACAUGGAUCCAUAACGAUUGAUCAAACAAACCCAACGAAAUCUGAAUCCUUAGGUAAUCGGUGACUUCAUGGUUCUCCCUCAACCAAAACCUCUUUAGUCUUUAAUAGGACAUUCAUAACUCUUCAGAUGAUGAGGAGAAGAGAAACUAUAUAUGACGGCUCAGUAUAUUGGGGACCAUAACCUUCUUACAGUGUAUUAAUCUAAUAGGGUUCUCAUUAUCUCUUAAUGGGCCAACACUGAUAUAUACUCGUUUAAGUUCAUAUUAUUUGAUUUAAUUGUCUAACGGACUCACUUAAUUUGAUCACAUAAAAUAAAACUCACUAAUUAUAAAUAACUAAUAUAAUUAUCUUAUAAUAUUAAUCCUGGAAUAGAAAAUUCUAACAAUUGACAAAAAAGAUUAAUUUGAAACUAUUUAAAAUUAUUAGAGACUAAAAUAAAGCUUCUGAAAUGUAAAGGUCGGAUUGAACAAAAAAUAAAACAUUUAAGAACAAAUUAAGAUGUAUUUUAACUAUUCUUUUUUGCUGAUAAAAAAGAAAGGCACAUUAUGAUAUACCAUUUCUAAUAUAAAAAAAAAUUAACUAUAUAUACCAGGAAUACCCAGUAAAGUAUGAAAUUAAUCAAAUUAUACGACAACCGCCAACAAUAUUCCGAACUUAAAAUAACAAAAGUCGAAACAUCACACAAAAACAUGUGAAGUGGCGAUCCAUAAUUGACAAAGUGCAGCUAGCUAGUGUCCAUUAUCGACAAAAUAUAUUUUUUUCAUUACUUUUUGUAUAAAUCUUUAAAAAACUGAAUUGAAUAAAAUAUUUUUUUUUAUAAUUGUAUGUAAAAAUACAAGAUUGAAACAAAGUGUUUUCUCAGAUCAAACAGGUAGUAAAAAUAAAGUGUCUGAAACUAAAACUACGUAACAUCUAGCAAAGACACCACAUUCAAGCUAUUAAAUAAUAAUUGAGUAAAUGGCAUCAGUGCAAUGGGAACCAAUUAAAAAGUGUUCAUCUAUAUAAAUUUACCAUAAGCAGGACCAUUAGUAAUUCAAUACUUCUUAUUUUAUUUUUUUAAAAGCAAAGGAAAUUUCAUAAAAGAAAGAAAAAACUGAAUGGCAGCAUAACAAAUGCUGUUGUCCAGCAUAAGAAGUUCUGACAUAGAGAAUCUAUAGUUUAGGACAAGGAAACCAAAAUGCCCCUACCAACUAAUGGACACAUACAGUACAAAACUUGUGAAUGAGUAUCACAAUACUUAUAACUUUGAAAAUCAAUUAUACAUCACAAUUAUUGAUCGUACUUGUGAACAACAGGAUACACAACUUGCACUACUAAAAAAAAUACUUAUUUAUGACACAUAUUCUAAGACGGUUUUGCGGAAUCAUUUUAAAAUAUGAUGCGGUGAUAAUUUUAUAAUUAAAAAAAUAAAAAAUUAUUUUUUUACAACGUAGAUUUUAAGAUGAUGAUAAAGAAUCAUUUUAGAAUAUCACUCGGUGACAAUUCUCACAUUAUAUGGAAGAUGUUCAAGAAUGUAUUGUAUAUAUUAAUUGGAGAUGCUCUUAGUAACACUAGUGCCAUUGUUGUAGCAAGAGGAGAGAUCAAUUUUAGAUGGUUUACCUUUCAGCACAAUUGGAGAAGCAAAUCAUACAAGCUAGUAGCAAAGUUUGAAGACGUAAAAAUUAAAGAAGCAAUGUAGGAUCGAAUGUGAGGGAAGCAAGAGUCUUAAGCCGGAUGGAUACAACUUAAAGUUUUUCAAAUCAUUUUGGAAUAUUUUUAAGGACGAUAUUAUGAGGACUUAUUAUGUUUUAAGUCCCUUAAAUUAGGGAUUUUUUUGUUUAGUCUCUCAAAUAAAAAUUUACAUUAUUUAUUCCCUCAAAUUAAAAAAUAUAUAUAUUUUAGUCCUCUCUUCAAAUAAAAAAUUACAUUUUUUUAGCUCCUUAAAUUCUACCAAAGGGAUUAAAAAGAGUAUAUUUUGAAUUUGAUAAACUAAUGCAUUUUUUAAUUUGGAGGACUAAAAAAAUAGAUCUAAAUUUAAGGAACUAAAAACAUAAUUGAGUCUAUUAUGAAACUUAUGGAGAAGUCUCACCCAAAUAGGGUGUUACCCAAAGCUAGGAAACUCUUCAUUCGUCACUUUGAUACCCAAAAAAAUCCAAUUGAAUUAGGAGAAUAUGGAGCAAUAUAUAUCCCUAAUUGAGUGUAUGUACAAAAUCAUUACUAAGAUGUUAUCUAGGAGUUUAAGGGUGGUAAUGGAAAAUAAGGUAAUUGAUGAGAGAUCAUGCGCGUUUAUUGGGGGGAGGAAUCUCUUGGAUGGGGUACUUAUUGAGAACGAGGACAAAAGGAAGAAGAAAUCAUGUCUAAUAUUGAAGGUUCAUUAUGAAAAGAUAUGCAACUCAAUGUGUUGAUAAUUUCUGUACUACACGAUUAUUAGGUUGGACUUUUGUAGUAAAUAGAUUGAGUGGAUAAAAGGUACGUUUUAUUAAAACAUCAAUAUAUGUGUUGGUUAAUAGGAGUUCAACAGAAGAGUUGAGACAAAGGAUCUAAUUGUCCUUUAAUUUUCCUCGUUGUCAUAGCAACAGAAGGAAUAAUGGGGCUCAUGAAAUAAUUUGUAAGGCAUAAUAUCUUCCCAAUUUUCAAGGCAGGGAAGAUAUAGUCAUAUCUCUUCUACAAUUACAGAUGAUACAAUAUUUUUUUAGAAGAUUCGAUGCAGAAUGUGGUUGUUAUGAAGAGUAUCUAUGUUUUGGAGUUAGUGUUCAGGCUCAAGAUUAUAUAUAUAUAUAUAUAUAUAUAUAUAUAUAUAUAUAUAUGAGUUUAGAAGGAGGAAAGAAUGGUUUGAGUGGGAAAAAUCAAUGGUUGAAGAUUUCAUGCAGUUCAUUAAUAUCACCAAACACUUAAAGUCAAACAUGAUUAAAUAUAAGAUUCUUUUAAUUAAUUCAUAUUUUUUAAGAAAAUUUGUUAUUAUAGUUAAUAAUCAACAUUAAAUUUAUUAAUAAUUUGUAUUAUUUUACUAAAAUUAUUCUUAAAAUUAUUGAAACUCAUAAUCUCUUACUUUCAAUUAUUAUUUUUCUACCUAAUUAAUUAAUAUAUGUUAGUCUUUUAUCUAAUGAGAUCAGAUAAUGCAUUUAUCUUUUUUAGUACAUAAUAUUUAUUGUAAAGUAAUUAAGUAUAUUUGAAUAAAAAAGUAAUUAAAAAAACAACUUAAAGAGAGUUUUAUAAAAAUAGACAAAUAAAAUAGAAAAAAGAGUCAUAUAUAUUUAAGUUGGAAGGGAGUACAUAUUAAAGAUAAAAAUAAUUGAUUAAUUUGUAUGUAUUAAGUACGUUUACACCUCAUUGUUAUCUAUUUAAAAAACUAUGGCACAAUUGUUUUUUGAGGCAAAAGAAAUAUAUAUAUAUAUAUAUAACUCUUUACAAUGAGUUUUUGGUGAUUCGCUUAUUUACUUAAUUUAGAAACUAAAAAUAGUUCUAAUUUCAUAAGAUAACAUAACAUAAAAAAUUAUAAGAUUAAUUUGAUGGUUAAAGAGAAGAAAAAAAUUAUGAAUUUAAAUUCCUCCUAUUAACCUUUGCCGAUAAAAAAAAAAUAAGUUAGUUAAAAAAUUAAUAACUGCACAAGUGUUUAUUGUGAAGCUUAAUUUCUUGAUCCUUGUAUAUAUAUUGAGAGCAUGUGCACAAUAAUAAAGAAAAAAAAUACAAAUACUGUAAGACUCCAUCUUAUAUUCAAAUAACAUGAAGGUGAAUGUUUUCAGAAUAGUUUUGACAAUGAUUAAUUAUGAGAAGAAAUCUCUAUAAUUAAGGCGUCAAUAUGCCCAAUUUGGCAAGUUAUAAAUUCUAAGCCCAAGGUUUUCCUGAAUACGUGUUAUGACAUACAUAUAGUGGGGUGAUUUCUUAAAAACAAGGUAACAACACAAUCACUAAUCAGAUUGCAAAUAUUAUGGAUUAGUUAAUAAACUGAACUUCUCAUUCCUCUUGAUUAAUCGUGGCAUGUUAUCCCUAUAGAAAUGUCUUUCGGGGUUUAAGGGAACUAGAACAUGCUGAAGCAAAAAAAAUUAGAAGUAAAUCUUCAAGUUUGUUGAUUAGUACGCACUUACAUAUGUAUGUGUAUUCGGUUUGCUGCUGUGCUUGAAGUGCAGUUCCCAGUCAUUGUUUGUCUUCAUGACACAACGCCACUGCCAUUAUUAGCUUAAAGUUGAGACAAACAAACACUAAUUAACUAGUAAAGAAGACAUAGGAGUAGAUGACAAAUUAAAGACUAAAGAGACUGCAAUAUGAGAUUAGUGCUUACCAUUUUUACUCUGGUUAAAUUAUAUAUGCAUCAAUGUCAAAUGUGGAAACAGAUAUAGUAUAUCAUCUAGAGAAAAGAAAUAUGAAAUCCUCAUAUAUUGCUCAAGUUAGCAGCCACAUUCAGACAAAUUAAAUGUCAUUGCGAACCAAUUUAUAACAGGUGAUCUGACAUACACUAAUUGUGUAUGAAUUUGGAAGCAAGUGGUAAUU